UUUUAUAUAAAGGGGCAGCAAGAAUUUCGGUUUAAAAGUUGGCGGAUUAUUAUUUGCAUCCUUAGAAUGUUUAGCCUCACUAACGAGUACAUCAAUAUCUUACUUUACCGUUAUGUAUUCUACACAGAAGUAAUAUGAAUAAUGUAACAUAUUGUAACAUAUUAUAAUAGAAUAGAUAAAUAUAAAACAAAUAACUAAUUACGUUGAUCUGUAAUCGUGACUAUUAAACUGUUAAAUGAAGAGAUGUAGAACGAAGAUAAUAUAUCUUUCUUUUUCGUUAUGA